GAAUAGAAUUUCUUGUAGGCUUUGUGACCAGGGGGAUUAGCGCUGCUUUCCCAAGACAGGUUUAUAAGUGAUUAUGAUCUUCAGGCUUUGCCUAACCAGGUUGGCUGGCUGGUGCUGACGGGACGGAGCUGAGGCUAGAGUUAAAAUUCAUAUGUUAGACUUCCGCUGUAGCAAUUACUCUUAUACAUCUUUUGUUUUCUCAACUUAAGAUGACUUCAUGUCGAGCUUAAAUUUGAAAUUCUAGUUUUAUGCUAAUGAAUGUUGGUUGUCAGAAACAUGAAACAAAACUUGUGAUCCAAA